rnacentral:rRNA from 1 species
AUGAACGCUAGCUACAGGCUUAACACAUGCAAGUCGAGGGGCAGCAUGGUCUUAGCUUGCUAAGGCCGAUGGCGACCGGCGCACGGGUGAGUAACACGUAUCCAACCUGCCGUCUACUCUUGGACAGCCUUCUGAAAGGAAGAUUAAUACAAGAUGGCAUCAUGAGUCCGCAUGUUCACAUGAUUAAAGGUAUUCCGGUAGACGAUGGGGAUGCGUUCCAUUAGAUAGUAGGCGGGGUAACGGCCCACCUAGUCUUCGAUGGAUAGGGGUUCUGAGAGGAAGGUCCCCCACAUUGGAACUGAGACACGGUCCAAACUCCUACGGGAGGCAGCAGUGAGGAAUAUUGGUCAAUGGGCGAGAGCCUGAACCAGCCAAGUAGCGUGAAGGAUGACUGCCCUAUGGGUUGUAAACUUCUUUUAUAAAGGAAUAAAGUCGGGUAUGCAUACCCGUUUGCAUGUACUUUAUGAAUAAGGAUCGGCUAACUCCGUGCCAGCAGCCGCGGUAAUACGGAGGAUCCGAGCGUUAUCCGGAUUUAUUGGGUUUAAAGGGAGCGUAGAUGGAUGUUUAAGUCAGUUGUGAAAGUUUGCGGCUCAACCGUAAAAUUGCAGUUGAUACUGGAUAUCUUGAGUGCAGUUGAGGCAGGCGGAAUUCGUGGUGUAGCGGUGAAAUGCUUAGAUAUCACGAAGAACUCCGAUUGCGAAGGCAGCCUGCUAAGCUGCAACUGACAUUGAGGCUCGAAAGUGUGGGUAUCAAACAGGAUUAGAUACCCUGGUAGUCCACACGGUAAACGAUGAAUACUCGCUGUUUGCGAUAUACAGCAAGCGGCCAAGCGAAAGCGUUAAGUAUUCCACCUGGGGAGUACGCCGGCAACGGUGAAACUCAAAGGAAUUGACGGGGGCCCGCACAAGCGGAGGAACAUGUGGUUUAAUUCGAUGAUACGCGAGGAACCUUACCCGGGCUUAAAUUGCAGAUGAAUUACGGUGAAAGCCGUAAGCCGCAAGGCAUCUGUGAAGGUGCUACAUGGUUGUCGUCAGCUCGUGCCGUGAGGUGUCGGCUUAAGUGCCAUAACGAGCGCAACCCUUGUUGUCAGUUACUAACAGGUUCCGCUGAGGACUCUGACAAGACUGCCAUCGUAAGAUGUGAGGAAGGUGGGGAUGACGUCAAAUCAGCACGGCCCUUACGUCCGGGGCUACACACGUGUUACAAUGGGGGGUACAGAGGGCCGCUACCACGCGAGUGGAUGCCAAUCCCAAAAACCUCUCUCAGUUCGGACUGGAGUCUGCAACCCGACUCCACGAAGCUGGAUUCGCUAGUAAUCGCGCAUCAGCCACGGCGCGGUGAAUACGUUCCCGGGCCUUGUACACACCGCCCGUCAAGCCAUGAAAGCCGGGGGUACCUGAAGUGCGUAACCGCGAGGAGCGCCCUAGGGUAAAACUGGUGAUUGGGGCU